rnacentral:rRNA from 1 species
GACGAACGCUGGCGGCGUGCUUAACACAUGCAAGUCGAACGGAAAGGCCCUGCUUUUGUGGGGUGCUCGAGUGGCGAACGGGUGAGUAACACGUGAGUAACCUGCCCUUGACUUUGGGAUAACUUCAGGAAACUGGGGCUAAUACCGGAUAGGAGCUCCUGCUGCAUGGGGUGGGUUGGAAAGUUUCGGCGGUUGGGGAUGGACUAGCGGCUUAUCAGCUUGUUGGUGGGGUAGUGGCUUACCAAGGCUUUGACGGGUAGCCGGCCUGAGAGGGUGACCGGCCACAUUGGGACUGAGAUACGGCCCAGACUCCUACGGGAGGCAGCAGUGGGGAAUAUUGCACAAUGGGCGGAAGCCUGAUGCAGCAACGCCGCGUGCGGGAUGACGGCCUUCGGGUUGUAAACCGCUUUCGCCUGUGACGAAGCGUGAGUGACGGUAAUGGGUAAAGAAGCACCGGCUAACUACGUG